rnacentral:rRNA from 1 species
AUUGAACGCUGGCGGCAGGCCUAACACAUGCAAGUCGAGCGAGCGGCGGACGGGUGAGUAAUGUAUGGGGACUGCCCGAUAGAGGGGGAUAACUACUGGAAACGGUAGCUAAUACCGCAUACUAUCGGAUAACCCAUAUGGGAUUAGCUAGUAGGGGAGGUAAUGACUAACCUGGGCGACUAUCCCUAGCUGGUCUGAGAGGCUGAUCAGCCACACGGGGACUGAGACACGGCCCAGACUCCUGCGGAGACCGCAGUGGGGAAUAUUUCCGAAUGGGCGCAAGCCUGAUGCAGCCAUGCCGCGUGUAUGAAGAAGGCCCUAGGGUUGUAAAGUACUUUCAGUCGGGAGGCGUUACCGACAGAAGAAGCACCGGCUAACUCCGUGCCAGCAGCCGCGGUAAUUC